GGGCUCAUGGUGUAAUGGAUCGCAUACUUGGCUUCGGACCAGGAGAUAGGGGUUCAAUUCCUCUUGGGCCCA
rnacentral:tRNA from 1 species